rnacentral:rRNA from 1 species
GUCCCAGCUGUAAACGAUGCAGACUCGGUGAUGGACUAGCUUAAUGCUAGUCCAGUGCCGCAGGGAAGCCGUUAAGUCUGCCGCCUGGGUAGUACGGUCGCAAGACUGAAACUUAAAGGAAUUGGCGGGGAGCACCACAAGGGUGAAGCCUGCGGUUCAAUUGGAGUCAACGCCGGGAAUCUUACCGGGGGCGGACAGCAGAGUGAAGGUCAAGCUGAAGACUUUACUAGACAAGCUGAGAGGAGGUGCAUGGCCGUCGC